AUUGAACGCUGGCGGCAGGCCUAACACAUGCAAGUCGAGCGGAUGACGGGAGCUUGCUCCUUGAUUCAGCGGCGGACGGGUGAGUAAUGCCUAGGAAUCUGCCUGGUAGUGGGGGACAACGUUUCGAAAGGAACGCUAAUACCGCAUACGUCCUACGGGAGAAAGCAGGGGACCUUCGGGCCUUGCGCUAUCAGAUGAGCCUAGGUCGGAUUAGCUAGUUGGUGGGGUAAUGGCUCACCAAGGCGACGACCCGUAACUGGUCUGAGAGGAUGAGCAGUCACACUGGAACUGAGACACGGUCCAGACUCCUACGGGAGGCAGCAGUGGGGAAUAUUGGACAAUGGGCGAAAGCCUGAUCCAGCCAUGCCGCGUGUGUGAAGAAGGUCUUCGGAUUGUAAAGCACUUUAAGUUGGGAGGAAGGGCAGUAAGCUAAUACCUUGCUGUUUUGACGUUACCGACAGAAUAAGCACCGGCUAACUCUGUGCCAGCCGCCGCAGUAA
rnacentral:rRNA from 1 species